UGGGGGAUAUUGCACAAUGGGCGCAAGCCUGAUGCAGCGACGCCGCGUGGGGGAUGAAGGCCUUCGGGUUGUAAACUUCUUUUGCUCUGAACAAGGCGCACUUUGGGGUGUGUUGAGUGUAGGGGUUGAUUAGCGCCGGCUAACUACGUGCCAGCAGCGGCGGUAAUACGUAGGGCGCGAGCGUUGUCCGGAAUUAUUGGGCGUAAAGGGCUUGUAGGUGGCUGGUUGCGUCUGUCGUGAAAGCUCAUGGCUUAACUGUGGGUUUGCGGUGGGUACGGGCUGGCUUGAGUGCAGUAGGGGAGGCUGGAAUUCCUGGUGUAGCGGUGGAAUGCGCAGAUAUCAGGAGGAAUACCGGUGGCGAAGGCGGGUCUCUGGGCUGUUACUGACACUGAGGAGCGAAAGCAUGGGGAGCGAACAGG
rnacentral:rRNA from 1 species